UUUCAUUCUGAGAGAAUAUGGCACAAUGUAACCACUUGAUGCAGUUCAUCUUACAGUGUUGUAGGUGGCCAGUGAUAGUAAACACUCAGAUUUCAUUGUCCAGAACAAAUAAUCAAUCAAGAACGCAUCAAAAAGGAAAAAAAUAAAAUAAAAUCAAUACCAUUGUUACUGUACAGGAAGUAUCAUAGUGGGAGGGGAGGGGGGAGGAGGGAGGAGGGGGGAGGAGAAUAAAUGAGGGACUCUUGGGAGGGGGGGAGGGGGGACAUUCAGAUAGUAGCUAUUAAAGACGUGUAUGUACAUUGCAAAUGUACCACAUCCCAAUUACAUAUAAUGUAUUAUAUAGAUAUAUACAAUGCAAACAAUAGACUCUUAAAUGUAUUUUUCCUAUUGCAAGAGAAGCCACAAGCCACAGUGAGUGAUACACAAUGAACAUCUACAUACAGAAUCAAAUGAAAAAUGAACACUUGUUAUGUACAUUUAACACUUGCAGCAGGCUACUGAGAUUUACUUUUUUUUUUUGUUUCUUUUCAUUUUAUUUGCUGAUUUUUGUUUUAAAUCCACAUGACCCCCCCGCAAAGUUCAGACCGGGUCAAACAGCUCAACACUUUGGUUGCUCCACAAAAAAAAGAGGAAAAAGAAAAAAAAAAAAGAAACUUUUUUUUUUCUCCCCAGGAUGUUAAAAUUGCAAAAAGUUAUAAAGUGUGUCCAGUAAUAUAGCAGGCGGGGGGCAAGCUUCUUUGCCAAGGUGAGUGUGAAGCCUUAUGAAUUUACAGGUGAAAAAUCGAAAUGAAGCCUCUUCCCUCUGGGCCUCUGGGUCACAUUGGAACUAGGUUUUAGCUUUUUUUUUUUUUUUUUCUGUCCACCUCCAGGUUUCCAGGUUUGCUCUUUUUCUUUUUUUUCUCUCUGGCUGCAAAAGUCAGUCUUGAAAAAUCCCCCGGAACCAUGCUCCCCAAAGUUCAAAAAAAAAAAAAAAAAGAAGUUUGGAUCCGGUCGCUCGUUUUUGCAAUGCAGGAAUCCAUUUCUUCCGUCUAUCGUGCCCCCAGAAAACGCACAUAUAUUUAUACCUCCUACUCUUAUAAUCAUGUUCUCUUUGAAACACUUCAAUAAACCAAGCUAUUCAUAUAUUUUCAUGGAUUUUAAACAACACUUUUAAUCUCGAAACCGAGAAGAAGAAACUCUGUCUGUACACGGAUCAUAUUCUAAUUUUUGCAAUACUACAUCUGUACUUUGUACAAUGAUAAACAGAUUUUUAUAAAACGUGAUAGAAAAUGUACAAUACAGUGUAUCUAUAUGUAUUCCAGUACCACGCAAAGCUGUGUCUAAGUGAGUCUUUGGAAGCCUGUUGCUAUUGAAAGACUGGUUGAAAAGAGGAAGGAGUGACGACAGGAGGGAGAGACAAUCACACCGUGUGCAUCUUUCCCUGAUGUGUGCCGUGAUAUUUUGUCCAAUCGGAUGUCUUCAUGCAGAGACAAAUAAAACACUGCACACAUGCAAGCCACACGCACGCACACACACACACACACACACACACACACACACACAAACACACACACACACACACACACACACACACACACACACUGGAUGGAAAAUCAACCAAAAUAUCCCGCUGUGCCUUCAGGAUAUAUUGAAAAACGUCAGUGCUGUGAGUGUGUCCUGUACAGUUUUUGAUUAUUUCAGAAGGCAUUGGGACGAUGAUUUUAGAUUGUUCAGUCCAAAACUCUCAUCGCCUGCUGCAAUCAUGCAGUGACUGUGAAGACGGAAAUUACAGUAAUGGGAGCUCAGAGCCGAGAAAAACAACAUCUUUACCAGAAAAAAAAAAGGAAAAAAGUUAAUUCGGGAGGCUGAAUAAUGUGCUCUUAGAGGAGACCUAUUAUGCUUUUGUUCAUUUUUUCCCUCUUUCCCUCAGUUUGUUAUGGAAGAUCCUGUGCAUGUAAAAGGCCUUGAACCUUAAAAAACAAACAAACUCUGUGCCAACAGGAACUCGUAUCUCCCACAGAAAACACUGCUCCUUAAACGCCUCAUCAGUAGCCUAUAAUUCCAUACCUUUGUGACAUCACGCUAUGUCACCACGUUGAACAUUUUUCAUAAUCUAUGCUGAUAUUCACAUUUGAAGUGAAGAUAACAUGAAGCUGAAAACAUGACCAGAGACACAAUGAGUGGUGCUGACUCAGGCAUGUUCAAGCUGACCAAUCAGAGCUGACUGGGUUCUUAAAGAGACAGGAGCUAAAACAGAGCCUUACAGAUUUUUUCCAGCUAAUUACUAUAAAAAACCCCCCCAGAUAUAUUGUAAAUUAUAACAGUUCAAUAUGUUGUACAGCUGUACAGUAUACUGCAGUAAGAUUUAGACAAUAUAUGUUGAUUUUAAUAAAGUUGACCUUAAUAAAGUUCAUUUUAUAUUAGUACAAUUCUGGCAACCACAGCUACCGGUAUUUUACUGUAUGGUAUUUUAUUGCAAACUUCAACUUUGCGGUAACUUUGCAACUUUGCAGUUGUGAUUAGCAGAAUUUCAUUGUUGCAAAUACGGUAAAACACAUGAGGCAUUCAAAUUGGUUGGCAUAGAAAUCAGUGAUUUUCACAGUAAAAUUGUGGGUUUUCUACAUACAAUGACAGUAAAAAUUACAGUCAAGCACUGUUUCUUGAUUUAUGGUAAAAGAGGCAUAUUAUUUUGGAUUUUAUGGUCUUUUACCGUUGCCCUUUGACUGUUGGUUAGUUUUUUGGACCAGUGGUAACCCGAAAUAAACUAAUAAACCUGACAAUGAAGAUAAUAGGUCUCCUUUAAAUGUAGCACCACACACACACCUUCCUGCACACACACAACCAACGACACAGGUUUCAGAAUAAAGGAGCAAUUUGUUUAUGUCACUCUGGUUAAGGCACUUCAAAUUGCUCCGUACAAUCUGGCGAUAUAAAUGUGUUUUUCCCGAUAAAAAUCUUGCAGCUUGCACUCGCGCCACUGCGUUUUUUUUCUUUUUUUCUUUUCCACAUGGCUGCACAAGACUGCAGAGAUCACUCUCAGCACGAGUGAAGCCAGAGAAACCUUAGAUUUUGAAGUCGUCUCUGAUAAACGUUUCAUGUCAUAUGUUCUCCGUAAAAGGAGUUUAGCCCUUUGACAUAAGCCGUAUGAAGAGGAGCCCAGCUAGCUCUGACGGCACAUUAUGAUCUGUUGACUACAAUAGAGACAAUGUUUAUUCUAGUCAUACUAGGACGGAUGAACGACAGAAUUUAUGUUCAUGAGCACUGAUGGGUUACAAUGGACUCGUGGCGAUAUGAAGGUCAUAACAACCUCAAAGCGACGGGGAACGGUGGAUCGUGUUUGCACAACAUGAGGAUGAGACGCAAUAAAAGCGCAGGACGGAUGGUAAACAGCGCCGCGUCACGCUGUGUUUACACCAGACGGCAGGUUUCGUCUGGGACACUCGAAUUCCUGCAGCAGAACCCUUGGCUGACCCGCCCAGAACGACUGUGACUUCUCCAAACAUGGUCCACAUGCAAGCGUGAUCCUCUAGCUGUGGAUUUUGUCAGUGACAACCCUCCAUCCUCCUCCUCCUCCUCCCUCCCCCCACCCGUCUCUCCCUCUCUCUCUCCCUCUCAACCUCCUGUAACCAUGACUACAAAGGCAAGCUUAUCUGUUCCAAAUGUACAAAGUGUACACCUUGGGGGCUAUCAGUCGCUUUUACCCCUCCCAUGCGUGACAGCCGCUCUUCUUUUCACUGUCACCCAACGACGCUUCCACGUUCUAUCGCAUGCCCACGUUCUCUCACAUCAUCCACUCUUCCCCGCUUCACGAAAGGGACUGAUACAGGACCGUUGUUUUGUCCUCGUCUGCUCAACUACUUGGCAACAGGAGCAACGGGGUGGGGUGGGGUGGGGAGGGGGAGUAAAACGGUUUAUGAGAACUUUGCUCCUGGUGUUUGAAGUGCCGAGGUGAUAACUGCAGUGAGCAGCACUGCUUUAUUUAUUUAUUUAUUUAUUUAUUUUUAGAUGCUUCCUGGGCCAUCUCCCAGCUCCGGGAGGUGAUAAACUGCCAUCACCUUCCAUCAAACACCCAAGCAGCGGCUCAAACUGGGACCCCUGGACCUCGGCUCAAGCUGCGAGCCACUUACUCUCCUGCUGGUAUCACUCAAACGACAGCUUAGCACAGAUUAAUCAGAUAUUCUGGACGGCUCUUUACCCACUACUGAGAUGUGUGACAGAUGUCAGGCAGACGUGGCUCGAUUUAUAACCGUGACGGAUGGUUGGAUGUUGAACUUGGAUGGAUGCCUCCAUUCCUGCUUCAAACUGCCGCGAUAGCUCAACACAGAUCAUCCGUGUGUGUGUGCAGCAGCGGUGGAAAGUACGUUCACUUGAGCACUUUAUACCUUUACUGCCAUUUAAGAAGAAAAUAGAAAAUGUGGUUUGCCUGAUUUGAACACAAAUCAGGCAAAGUAAGAACAGAGAUUUAGAUUUUUCUCUGGUUAGAAGUGGAAAGAAAUAAGCAACAUUUAAAUCAAAAUGUGAUGGCUUCUGUUGGGUCGUUUAGCUGAAAUUCUGACAAUUAAACCAUGUUAUUUUAUGAGGAAAAACAGAAUAGUUGAAAUAAAGUUUUUUUGGAGGGAGGACUUUACAAUACUGUAGUCUUCCAGCUCGAGCUGAGACUUCUCCAGAGACACAAACCACGUGUGGAGUAGAAUUCUGAAUGCAGGGUGUGGUAUUUCUUUCUUUCUUUCUUUCUUUUUUUACGUUGUGAUAUUGCAAUUUUAAUUCAAGUGAAGGAUCCUUCCACCGCUGACGCACGGCUACAGACGUGAGAGGCAUCCUGAGGUUCGCUCCCGGCAUUUUCAAAUAGCAUUUCACCGUAUUGCUUCAGGUUGCGAGCAGAGAAAUGUAAAUGUCAGUGUGCCGGCUCAAUGCGAAAAAACUGUGACUUAUUUCUGUAACUCUGAAAUUUUGAAAGCGAGUGAAAGGAUGUUUAUCCUGCGGUGUCUCUGCACAUAAAGGAGCCGAGACAUGGCAGGAAGGAAGCGGAGGAAAGAGCAAGACGAAGAAUUAAUGGUGGAGCGAGUUAAUGAAUGCAUACGUGAUAUUUACAUUACAUUCAUGACCUCGUAUAUGAGGUAGAGACUAUAACAGGAUCAGGGGCUGAGUGGAGCACUAAGUGGGGCAUGGGCGCGCAGCAAGUGAGCACAAGCUGAGCGUGUAAUGGGCAAUCUUUAAUCUCAAAUGUAGGUGUUCCACAUUGUCCCGUAAUCUGAUCAGCCUCAUGGUGAGUUUUCAUUAUAGGAUCUGUCCCAGAUCUCUCUUUAAGGAGACAGCCUCGAGGAAGCUUGCUCGGUUCGCGGGCGUAAUUCUGCGCCGCGCCCCCCUGCCGGCAACCGUGGCAGCCUCCUGAUGGCAAAGCACUCAUGCAUAUUCAUCAUCAGCUCCUACAGCAUACAUUAAUGUAACUGAGAAUUGUCUAAUAGGUUGAAAUGAUGGAUGACACGCAUGAGUACACAGAACAUGUCUUACAGUAAAUUGAUAUUUUCUCAUUUCUUUUGUAAUUAAAAUGAGCACAACUAUUUAUUACUUUAAUGAUUUACAUAUAAUCAAUUAACUUGUUAUUUUUUUAAAAAUCUUUUUUCUUUUUAAAUGAAGAAGGAGAUGGGUUACAAAAUGUGCACGGCGAAGACGCGAAAAUUAGCCCUUAUUUAAAUCACGAGGUCGCAACCUGUGAUCAGAAGUAAACUCCACUCUUGGAGCAAACACACAUAUCAGAACGUAUACCCACACACACACACACAUACACACAUACACACACACACAAAUCCACACACUCACACACACACACACACACUCAGGUUUUCGCAAUCAUCAGUACAGUACAUACAGCACACUCAUCAAUCCACAAAUCUGCAAGAUCGAAUAAUAAAAAAAAAAACCAUACACACACCACACAGUGCCUUCCCACAGCUCUGAGCUCCGGCCACCUGUUUUCACUGACGGAGUAGGAAGGAUCCCUGCAGUCGUGAAUAACUUUAACAUCUUCACAGCAACGUCUUCGUCAUGAAAUAUACAUCAAGCAUCUUGUCAGCAGUUGUGAAAGCUGACGUGACGUGAUGUGAUGUGAGCGGCUGGCGAAAUCAAAGAGUGCGACUGAACAAUCACAUGCCACAUUUUGCUUUUUCUCUUUAGUCGUAAUUCUUGUGUGGUCUUGGUUAGUCUUUCAUAAUGAUGUGUUGCAGGUUAAAUUAGUCAAGUAUCCUUUGAUAAAAAUGGACAAGUUAUGGUUUUUACACGGGUUAUGUGAGGGACUAUUUCUUGGCCGGGUGCAGUGAUUUCCACACAGUGACCACAAGACUUCAGAAAAUUUUUGCUCCCGACCAAAAAAAAAUAGUGCCACAUAUAAGAACCCAUUUUCAAUGCUGACUUUGUAGGCAGAAAUAUAAGAUGUUAGAUGCUCAGGGUAUUUAUGCUAAGCUAAGCUAAGUGUAUCCUGGCCUCACCAAGACAGCAAAUAAGCAUAUUUACCAAGGAUCUAUGUGGAGAGUUUUGGUUAUUCUUAAUAAUGACACAUGGCAGGUUGUAUUUAGUGAGUUUUCUUUGAUUAGAAAUCCCACAUUUCCAAAACAAGUAAUGGUUUUUACAGAUGUUAUGUGGGGGACUAUUUCUUGGGAAAUCUUUGCACCCAACAGAAAACAAAAAUAAUAAUAAUAAUGAUAAUAAUAAACACAUAAAUAUAAAAAUAGUCUCAAACAUAAAAAAAAUAAAUCUUGUAAAACCAAAACUUGUUUUUGUUUUUGUUCAAAUCCAAUAAAGGAGAUAUAAGCCAUGUGUUCUUAGAGCUAUUUGGUUAUUGUUCAUAGUGACACAUAGCAGGUUGUAUUUUGCUGCAGUUUUCUAUGAUAAACAAGUUAUUGUUUUUAUGGGGGUUACAUGAGGGACUGUAUCUUGGUUGGGUGCAGUGACUUCCUCGAGGAAACGUUUGCCCCAUUAUCAAAAACUAGUCCAACACAAAAAACGCUAAUAUAUAAACAAGAUAUAAUGGGAUAGAUGCUCAAAGUAUUUAUGCUAAGCUAAGCUAAUUGUUACUUUGUCUAGAAGGAUCAUUGAUUGAAUUGAAUGGUUCAAAAUAGAAGCUGAAUCAAUCCUGUGGGUGAAUGUUUCUAUUCUAUUCUAUUUCAUGGUACAAAGAUAUUAAAAAAAGUUAAUGAAAAUUACAAAAACAAUCACAAUCACGUCAUUGUUUUGGAGUAGAGGUCAAAAUUUGGAAAACUCAUAUUUUAGUACCUAGCCAAGUACUGAAGAGUAGAGAAAAUUCAUUUCUGUGAUUUGGCUGAACUGAUUCCUUAAGUCCUAAAUGAUUUCUCACCACUGCUUGGUUGACAAGUGCAGCUCUAAUAUAUUUAUAUACCUAUUAUGUAUUAAUGGCAACUCAUUCCCACGGGGGGCUCACGGGUAGAUGGGAAUCGCAUCCGACCCUGAUGUGACCAUUUCAGAGGCAAUCUAUGCAAGCUGCCCCACUUUACUCUACAUGUUUGCUGGUUGGAAGUGCCAUGAUGAGGAUCACAGACGGAUAGAAAGAAGGCAGGCAGAGGGGCACACAUGGGUGUACGUGCAUCCUCCAAGCCAGCGCACACCCACGUGUGCACUCACAUAAAUAUUGAGUAUACACUGAUAUGUACAGCUAUCUACAGGUAUCUUCACUGAACUUCAAACUUCUGAGGUUUGUAAAUUCAGACAGCCCUAUUUUCCCAUUUUGAAGUUUUCUUGUGUCUUUGUACAGCACAGAUCCUCGCUCUUUAUCUUUUUUUUGUUUUUUCUUCAAUUUUUUAUCAGCUCAGUGUCACUCCAAUGUGCUCCCUGCUUUACAAACCCUCGCGCUUUUAUUAUUAUCAUUCUUUUUUUUUUUUUUCGGCUCACAACACUGAAUGAAUCUGAAUUUUU